rnacentral:rRNA from 1 species
UACGUAGGGAGCAAGCGUUGUCCGGAAUCAUUGGGCGUAAAGCGUGCGUAGGCGGUUUGUUAAGUCCGUUGUGAAAGCCCUGGGCUCAACCUGGGAAUUGCAGUGGAUACUGGCGAGCUAGAGUGCGGUAGAGGAUGGUGGAAUUCCCGGUGUAGCGGUGAAAUGCGUAGAGAUCGGGAGGAACACCCGUGGCGAAGGCGGCCAUCUGGACCAGCACUGACGCUGAGGCACGAAAGCGUGGGGAGCAAACAGG